GCAAGUCGAACGAACAAAUUGGUGCUUGCACCAAUGCGUUAGUGGCGAACGGGUGAGUAACACGUAGGUAACCUACCUCAAAGACGGGGACAACAGUUGGAAACGACUGCUAAUACCGGAUAGGUAAUAGAUUCGCAUGAAUUUAUUAUUAAAGGAGCUUUUGGGCUUCGCUUCGAGAUGGACCUGCGCCGUAUUAGCUAGUUGGUGAGGUAAUGGCUCACCAAGGCAACGAUGCGUAGCCGAGCUGAGAGGCUGAUC
rnacentral:rRNA from 1 species